rnacentral:misc_RNA from 1 species
UCAAACUUGGUCAUUUAGAGGAAGUAAAAGUCGUAACAAGGUUUCCGUAGGUGAACCUGCGGAAGGAUCAUUACCGAAUCGUCAAACACGGGUUGUCGCUGGCCUCUUGAACGUGGGGCAUGUGCACGCUCUGUUUACGCAUCCACUCACACCUGUGCACUCUCUGUAGUUUUGCGGUUUGGGAGGCGCCGUCUUCCUUCCGUGGCUCUACGUCUUUACACACACGCCGUAGCAAAGUCUCGUGGAAUGUUUUUUUUUUUUGCGUUUAACGCGAUACAAUACAACUUUCAGCAACGGAUCUCUUGGCUCUCGCAUCGAUGAAGAACGCAGC